AACCCUAAUGCUGAUUGCAUGGAAAAGCUCAGUUUAGGGUUUAAAACCCUAAUGCUGGCUGAAAGGAAAAGGUUCAGUUUAGGGUUUAAAACCCUAAUGCUGACUAAAAGGAAAAUUCAGUUUAGGGUUUAAAACCCUAAUGCUGAUUGCAUGGAAAAGCUCAGUUUAGGGUUUAAAACCCUAAUGUUGGCUGAAAGGAAAAAGUUCAGUUUAGGGUUUAAAACCCUAAUGCUGAUUGCAUGGAAAAGCUCAGUUUAGGGUUUAAAACCCUAAUGCUGGCUGAAAGGAAAAAGUUCAGCUUAGGGUUUAAAACCCUAAUGCUGACUAAAAGGAAAAUUCAGUUUAGGGUUUAAAACCCUAAUGCUGAUUGCAUGGAAAAGCUCAAUUUAGGGUUUAAAACCCUAAUGCUGACUAAAAGGAAAAUUCAGUUUAGGGUUUAAAACCCUAAUGCUGAUUGAAGGAAAAAUUCAGUUUAGGGUUUAAAACCCUAAUGCUGAUUGAAGGGAAAAAUUCAGUUUAGGGUUUAAAACCCUAAUGUUGAUUACAUGGAAAAGCUCAGUUUAGGGUUUAAAACCCUAAUGCUGGCUGAAAGGAAAAAGUUCAGUUUAGGGUUUAAAACCCUAAUGCUGACUAAAAGGAAAAUUCAGUUUAGGGUUUAAAACCCUAAUGCUGAUUACAUGGAAAAGCUCAGUUUAGGGUUUAAAACCCUAAUGCUGGCUGAAAGGAAAAGGUUCAGUUUAGGGUUUAA
rnacentral:lncRNA from 1 species